GGUAAGGUUGGUUCAGUGAGUUGUGUAGGCUUCUUGGCCACUCACCAAAUUCUUAAACACACUACCAUCAGAAGAAAGAAAUUUCAUACCAUUCAUUUCCUCAGCAGUGAUUUGCCUGUGAUGUGCAGCGAGCAGACUUCAGAAGCUGAUUUACACAGUUGGAGCACAGGAGGAGCCAGGGUGUCCUGGAGGGACAAGCUGGUUGAGGCUCCAGCGACAGGCUGAUCUAGGGGCUCCCAAGCACCUUUCCCACUGUGUGUGAUUUGCGGGUGGUUGAUGGAUUUGCAUUCGGGUUCCAGUCCUGCAUUUCUUAUAUUGCCUCUUAACACCCGACCUGGUGCUCCCAGUUUGGGUGCAGAUGUUGGAAUAAAGAACAGAGACACAGACACAUAGAGAGAACACCAUGUGACAAGUAAAGGCAGAGACUGGAAUGAUGUAUCUUCAAUAAGAAACAAGGAUUUCCUGCAACCUCCAGAAGGAUGAGUCAAGGAAAGCUCUUCCGAUGGAGCCUUCGGAGGGAGCAUGGUCCUAUUUGAUUUCAGACUUCUGGCCUCAAACACUUUGAGACAAUAGAUUUCUAUGGUUUGAAGUCACCCAAUUUGUGGCAACUUGUCAUGGUAACCCCAGGAGGCUAACACAUGAAUUCACAGUCUUAUUUUCUAGGAGGACGUAUAUCUUGGAGAAGGCAGCUAAUUUAAUUUUUCUCAGUCCUAGCACUUUUUAAUAUAGGGAUGGGGAAGGAUAUCAAUGCCCAGCAUUGUUUAACACAGAUAAGAGUUAAUUAUGUUAGUUUCAAUUCUGUUACUCUAUUUUUUCUUCACUAUCAAAAAGUAAUUUAAUUUCUGACAAAGUAGUAUGUUCAUAAAUCAAGCACAUAAGGGCACAUUUACAGCAAUGUAUUUAUAUGUGUAUAUUUACAUAUGCAUACACAUAUGUAUUUUUUAUAUUACAUGCUACAUGUAUGUUAGCUAGAUAGAUCUAUUUAAAGUUCAUUCAAAAACCCCAAAAUGUUUCUACUUGAAAUAUCCAUAAUAUUAAGAGUAGACUAGAUAAAUAAUAUUUGACUGAUUUAUCUAAACAUAUCUAUUUUAUUUCUAUAAAAACAUAAUAAUUCAUUAAAGAAAAAAUAAACAUAUAACUAGAAAGGAAGGUAUAAUUUUUAACAUGUAUCCAUCUCCUGAAACAGUUGGACAGAAGUGAUUAUUCACUAGUUGAUAAAUACUGUACCUUAGGUAUUCAGUUAUAAGAACAAACUAUUGCUUAGAUAUAGAACUGGAUUGGUGCCUGACAGAAAGUCAGCCUUUGAGAACCUUGAUAGUUCCAAAAAUAAGGUCAAUCUUCAACAUUCUCUCUAACAGGGGCCCUUUCUGGUAGACAUAGAUAAAAGCAAGCACAGAUAGUAAAUAGUGUAGAUUCCAAUGAAAUACAGGAGAAAAUCAGAAUGAAGAAACUAUGAUGUAGAUAGAAGAAGAGGAAAUUUAUUUUUUGAUGUCCUGAGAAGGAAAUGAACAGAUGAUAAAUCACCAAUUUGCUCUUAGGGAGGAUUACCAGAGUAAGGAAAAUGAAUUGGCAUGUGUCCUUAGGGAGGCAAAGCAGUGCUACAUCUGAAGUGUAUUAUUUUAGUUUCCAUAUUAAUGACUUAAUCUGUGUGGCAUAAGAAUUGAUUGUUUUCUGUUCUCUCUCUCCCGAACUCCCAUUUCUCUCUGUCUCUUUGUCUCUCACUCUCUCUCCAUUAUAUAAUGAUUCAGUUACUCAGCAAAUGUGACCCUGUUUCUUAUGCUUUUCCUGGAAGGAGGAAAUUUCUUCUUUCUUUUAUGAGUUCAUUGCCUGGGCUAAUAAUUAAAUUGACACAAGACAGAUUAAUAGGAGAAAAGAAAAAAACAAAUGUAAUUCAUAGGUAUGGAGGCCUUACAGAACUGGAACCUAAGAAGUGACAAGGAAGGUAGCUUUUACACCUUUUAGACAAAAAAGAAAAAAAAAAUGUGAGGAAUUAAUUGAACAAAUAAGCUUAGGCUUUAGUGCUUAAUUAGUGAGGAAUUCAAACAGUUUGGAGUAGCAAAUUACUAAAGAAGUAACAAGGUUUGUUUGUACACAUUUCAUGGCCCUGAAUUCCCUAUUUCUGGUGAUGAGUAUGCCUCUCUCUUGGUACAGGGAGGGAACAUUUUACAUUGGCCAUUUAUUUCCUGCUUUCAGAGGGGACAGAGAGAAGGAGGAUCAGAGUGUUCUUUUUACAUCGACCAAUUCUCAAGUAACUUUAAUGCAAAAUAGUAUGCCACCAUGGAAUAUUUUGGAGUGGCCUGCUCUGAGACCCAACACUUGUAAAUGGAGGACACUAACAAGAAUACAGUUGUAAGCAGCUGUAAAAAUUUUGGGAAAUGGUGAAAUUUUAGAUUGUAUGAAAAUAGUAAAUAUAAGUCCAUGGACAUGUAGUGAAUUUUAGUGAAUCAAAUAAUGUUUUAUCAAAAUUCCAAAGGUUUGAUUGACUAAUUCGAAUAGAAAACUGAUUCUUAAAAAAGAAAAUCAUGGUUACAUACUGGAAAUAAAGGAAAUACUGAUAUUACAGUGGAAUUUACAUUUCAUACCUAUGCUUUCUAGAAGAAAACACAACAAACAAACAAAUUAAAAAACACAGACAGCUGCAUUUCAACUUUGAAGAAGUGAUGGAUGUGGAAAGAAAGGGGAAAGGUGGGAUGGCAGAUGAUGAUAGUGUGUGAGAGAGUUGAUUUACACUAAUUUUGGUAGUUGAUAAUAAAUGAAGCUUGUGAUAGCCUUGGUUGGAAUAAGGUCCAAAUUAAAUGUGAAUACUCUUAAAUUUUAAAAUGACCCAUUAACUGACACCUGGGUCUGUCCUGGAUUUUCUGUCCUCACUACCCUGAUCUACUUUCCCUCCUUCUUCACCCUUCAUUGUGUCCUGAAGGCUGAUCUGUAUGAACUUGAUCAAUAAGAUCUCUUCUUUUCUGGCUUUGCAUUUGUUUUGGCCAAUGGAGAGCCCUGGUCAGAAAUCAGAAGAGUGUGAGUUUGUUCCAGUUUUCCUUAAUUAUCUUUCCUAUGUUACCACCUGGAGCUGAAUGUCUCACUACCCUGUAAGGAGAGUCUUUCUACACACUCUCUUCUCAAGUUCAUUAACCACUCUUUGUCUUUGAAUCUAAUAGAUUUGUGCUCUAACUAGCCCUAAGAUAUUGUACUAUCUGUUUCAGUUCCACUACAUUCUAUCCACAUGUCUGUAAAUAGUCCCUUUCUUAAUAUCUUUUUUCAAAUUUAUUGUUUCCCAACUUUAUUGAGUAAUAAUUGAUAAAUGUAAUUAAAUAAAGUUGGAGUAUACAACGUGGUGAUAUGAUAUACAUAUAUAUUAUGUAAUGAUUACCAAGAUCAAGGUAAUGAACACAUCCUUCAUCACAUAUAGUUAACUCUUUUUUUGUGUGUGUGGUGUGGUGAAAAUGUUUAAGAUCUAUUCAAUAACUUUCAAGUAUACAUCAUUGUAUUAUUAACUAGAGUCACCAUGUUGUACAUCAGAUCCUCUGAACUUCCUCUUAAUCAUCUGCUUCUUGCUGGACCCUGAGUUGCACAGGGUCUUGAGCCACUUAGUUAUAAUUUCACAGAAAUUUUGGAGUUUUCUCUUAAAGGCAUAAUAAAGACAUUCAAAAGGCAAUAAUGUUUUUAAGAUUGGACUCUCAAAAAAUAAAAGAAAACUUGAGACUUCCAUGAAAACAUUUUUGUUGUAAUUUUAAUUCAUAAUAAAUACUAUUCCAAAUGUAAAGAUAUCUCUGAAGUGCACAUUUUCAUUAGAAAGAGAACAUUAUCUUCUCUUUCUAAGAAUCCUACAUUAGUUGGUUGAAAGCCUAUUCACAAAUAUUUUCCUUCCCAAUUCACCUUUCUCUUUUUACCAUCUACAUUUUUUAUCCAUUGCUUUAUGCACUCAGUAGGUACUUCUAAAACCAACCAUGAUAGUCCAUACAUAUUUAUUCUUUACUUAGCUAGAUUUACCUCUACAUAAAAUAAAUAAACAAAUAAAACAAGUAUUAUGAUUCCCAUUCAGGAAAUUAUGAUGAGUGUAUGAUAUAAACUACAUAAUCUGUUCUAAAGUCAGGUACAUUUACUUUAUAUAUAAAAUAGCAAACAGAUGUUAGAUAUAUAGAUAAACAAAUGAUAGAUAGAUGAUAAAUGAUAGAUAGAUGAUAAAGAGGAUUGUAAACUGGAAAAAAAAAGAGACAAAAUAAAGAUGUCUGAGAACUAGGCAUGAAACAGGAACAUUAAACAUGGGUUCAGUCCUCUUGCCUGCAGAGCAAUGGAUUUAAAAGGGGUCAAUGGGGCCAGUGAUUUUACCUUAGUGGGGUGAUAAGAAGCAACAUCAUCCCAAAUGCGAUAGGUGACUAGAGUAAGAAUCACUGCAAAGCUGUGUGGUUUAUUGUUGCUUAACAAAGGCAUAUUUUGAUAUCUGAACUAAAGAAGCAACUGAGAGCUGAUAACAGCUGGAUCAUUUCAGUAUUAUACAGACACCAAAGGAAAUAAUAAGGAAAUAUAUUAGAGCAAAAAAAUUGAUACAAAAUUUUCCUUUACAUUAAUUUUCCAACAUUCUUUGUUUAAUGAAUUUAAGAUAUGAUUACUUAGAUCAUAUAGUUUUAAAAUUUCAGAACUAAAAAGGCUAUGAGCAAUUAUUAUGCUAAAUAUAUUUUCAGGAUCUCAUAGGUAAUUAAUAAAGAAGACAUGAUUGCAAGUGUUUUGCUUCAGCUUUCCCACCUUUUGCACAGAUCAUCUUGUGCUUUCCUUAAUUAACUCUGUAAACGUAGAUACUUAUGUGAGGCUUUUCAUACUUACGUGAGGCUUUUCUCACUUCCACAACACAGCUGUUUUCAUUCACUAACACUUUAAUUAUGACAGAAAAUUUGUCUAAGUCCUAAAUUAGUGAUAGAUUAAAGUACCAGUGGAGUAAAUAUUUCAAAAGUUUAACCAAUCAAGAUUUUUUUUUGAGAAUGUAACAACUAGAAAUGGAUAAGCAGAAAAAAUAACUCAUUAAAAUAUUUUACUUGUCCAUUUCUCAUUUAUUUAUUAAAAAAUAUGUCAAGUAGUUAUUAUGAACCUGAUACAGAUUUAGAUGUUAUUAACACAAAUAUUGAAGAGGAAAUUUAAAAAUAAAAUGAUUUCAGAUAGUGAUAAGUGAACUAAAGAAAUUAAAAUGUUAAUGAGCCUCAGCAAAAUCAAAGUCAAAGAAUGCUAGUUCAUCAGAUAAAGCAACUCUUGUUACAUGAUAAUUGAGUAGAGACAUAAUUGCUGGGAUAGUCAAAGUCAAAAGAUUAAAAUAAUAACAAAGUCUCUAUAGUGAGUAAAAAGAGAAGCAAAAACAAGUGCAAGAACAAAAACUUGGUAUAACCUGAGAACCACAGUAAAGAUAGUGUGGGUGCAGCAAAACUGAGAAAAAAGAUCAGCUUAUGUAGGAAAUUUUAGACCAUGUUAAAGUUAUAUGGGUGUUAUUCAAAGGAAAAGUGGUAAACUUUUGCAGGUUUUUGUUUCAUUACUUUAAAAAAAAAAUCAGGGUUGAAGAAUACAUGAUUUGGGAGUUUAAAAGUUUACUCUCUUACUCUAGUCUUGAAAAAAAAGUUCAGACAGUAGAAGAGAAAACAAUUCUCAAAAACUUAAAUAUUCUGAUGUAUACAAAUGGUUGUGAAAUUUAUGAAAAACGGAACUGUUGUAUCAGUCAUCAAGAAGAUGCAAAUUGUGGGGAAUAUGUCAUGUAUUCAGAAACAUGACAUUUGUGAGUGUAAAUUAGUAGUCAGUUUGAAAAAUUAUGAGUAUCCAUUAAAACUGCACAUUUGCCUAAUCUAUACCUUUGCAAAAUAAUUCCAGGUUACACUCAACAGGAACAAGCACAUACAUACACCAGUGGACAUAUUCAAGAAUGUUCAAAAGAACCCUAUUUAUCAUAGCCCUCAACUGGAAACUACUUCAGGGUCCAUCAGUAGAAAAUAGACCCUAUAUUAUGCUGUAAUAACUCAAUGAGAAUGCAGAAACUAGGUACAUUCACCUUAAUAAAAUGAUGGACAAGAAAUAAUAUUCAUAGGAUUUCUAUGUGGUAAAAGACUGUACAUGGAGUAAAAAGAAGAUAUUGCUGUAAUUAGGAAUAAUGGUUGUGGCUUGCACUAGUUGUGGGAGGGGGCGGAAUGGUUGGAUAUUCACCAUAUAUUUUGGAAGGGCAACAUUUAUAUAACAUGUUAGGUUAAAUAUAAUUAUUUGUAAAACUGAAUUUGGGUCUUACUUCUAGAUAUGCAUGAAAGAUGUCUCAGGAAUAAGAUAAAGAAUAUAACAAUAGAAACUAAAGUUACAAUAUUUUAUUUAUGAACUGUUAACAAAACAUAUUUGAAUUUUAUGAAAAAAUCCCAUCUUUUAAAUUAUUUUAAGGUUUUAGAAAAAAUAACAUUGCAAUUCUUAAUUUGUUC